rnacentral:lncRNA from 1 species
UAUUAAACAGGGGAUCUUUCCCCCAUUGCUUGUUUUUGUCAUGUUUGUCCAAGAUCAGAUGGUUGUAAAUGUGUGGUGUUAUUUCUGAGACCUCUGUUCUGUUUCAUUGAUCUAUAUAUCUGUUUUGGUACCAGUACCAUGCUGUUUUGGUUAGUGUAGCCUUGUAGUAUGGUUUGAAGUCAGGUAGCGUGAAGUCUUCAGCUUGGUUCUUUUUGCUUAGGAUUGUCUUGGCUAUGUGGGCUUUUUUUUUUGGUUCCAUAUGAAAUGUAAAGUAGUUUUUUUCUAAUUUUGUGAAGAAAGUCAAUGUAGCUUGAUGUGGAUUGCAUUGAAUCUAUAAAUUACUUUGGCUAUUAUGGCCAUUUUUAUCAUAUUGAUUCUUCCUAUCCAUGAGCAUGGAAUGUUUUUCAUUUGUUUGUGUCCUCUCUUAUUUCCUUGAGCAGUGGUUUGUAGUUCUCCAUGAGGAGGUCCUUCACAUCUCUUGUAGUGUUGUAUUCCUAGGUGUAGGGCUGUGGAGACCCCACAGGGUCGUGGGGUGACCCUUAUGCUGUGUUGAGGUGCAGGAUCCAAGAGGCAAAGAGACAGGACACUGAAGAACUGGUGAAGAGCAUCUGGACUCAGGGGGCCACACCAUCUGUGAGCAGAGAUCAGCGGCGGCCUCCAAAUGCCCAAGAGCAUCUGUAUUUAUUAGGUACAAGCAGGGGGCAGGGUUGUGGGUGAAUUCAUCAUCUAUAGGCUUAGUAAUAGGGCAUAAAUAAUUACGUGAGUUAUAAGCGAGGGGACCACCCCAUUAUGUCACCUGGGCAGAGAGGUGGGCCAUGUGAAGCAGGGGGCCAUGCCAUGCACAGUAGUAGAGGGUCAUGUACAGAAAAGAGGUCCAUCCCCAUUAGGUCACCAAGGCAAGGAGGUGGGCUGUGUGCAACAGGUGUCAUGCACAACACGUCUAAUCUGGGGGCUGGAGACUUCAAAGGAUUUCUAAUAGAAGGAUACUGUAAGUGUAAUGCAGUGGGAGCUGACAGACUUGUGCUCUUCUCGAAGCUGCCAAGCAGAGAUAAACUUUAG